rnacentral:lncRNA from 1 species
CGACAUCACUCAAAUCUCAGAUCUUCUUGGGCCGGGUCAGGGACUUUGUCUGGACUCAUAUUGACACGCUAUUAGGAACACCUCGACAUGUUACCCCAGGUCCUGAAGUAGGUGCUAAAAGCUCAUAUGGUAUCACCCCAGCCCCACAUCUAUUCCUUAAUCUUGCGUCAGCAUUUCUUUCCUCAAUCUCCUUCUCUAUCCUCCCAAUCUCUGCGGAGAAUUCAUAGAAUGCUUCAAUGGCCUCUGCAUCCCCUGUCCACGUCGACGGAUGAUUCCUCUCGCCAAGGUACUCCUCAUCGGCGGAGUGAGUCGAUAAGGUGUCUACCACGGCCAUGUAUUUUGUUGCUUGUAACAAACUCGGCAGGGCCGAGAGGAAAUACUUUUGUGGAUCAGCCAAGAAAACUGCGUAUUCUGGAUCAUUUUCAUUAGGUAUUAGUCGCCGCAUGAGCGGCGGCCGGUUCGGCACGUAGCCACCGUAAGGGUACUGGCCAAAAUUCAAUGCAGCAUGCUGCGCUGAAGCAAGCCAGAUGAGGGUUGUCAGAAUUGAGCUGAGAUCUUCAGGUGUGGCUAAAGUGGGCCACCAGUCGGCAUUGCGUAGAUCCGCAUGGCCCACGUUAAUGGACUCCGCAUACCAGGCUUGAAGCUCCCUAUCAUUGCAGACGAGGCUUGGGUCGGGAUAAUAAUGGUUCACAUACUUACGGACCCAGCUCUCAAUUGCAGCCCAUAUCAUUAACCCAUCCGCAGCAUACGGAUAGUCCUCCAUGACAAGUUUUACCCCAUGGGGUUGCGUUGGAUCCGGUACUGCCAUCCCUCUACACAAACAAAAAAGCCCCACAAGAAUCAUGUAAAACCUCCAUAUUUUAUCAAAAUAUUCACACAUGACCAGACUGGCAAAUAAUCAUCUAGGAAAUUGAAGGUAAAGAUUUUUUUUUUUUUUUGGGUUAAAUAUAGGUACCUCCUGAUGAGAUCAGCUGGGAGUCCUUCUAAAUCAAAACGCCAGAAAUUUUUGUAGGCAGCGGCACUAAUGUCCAUGCAAUAACGACCAGGCGUGAAGCAAGACUCAAUGACACCGUCUGCAUUGAUCAAGGCCUGGCGAGCCAAUGCAUUGAUCUCCAUUGUAUAUCUCAUAUGGGGAUCCAAAAGCUUAAAUAUUGGAUGCAUUGCGCUCAUCUGCCUGUGCGCCGCCAGUAUAAAUGGUUCCACUGACGCAUGUGUGCGCAACCUGAAUUCAAUCAACCAAUGUUCCUUAGAUUCCUAUAUCAAAUUCACCGGCAAGAUUAACAAUUUUCCCCUGUUUCAAAUCUUCAUUACUAACUCAGUUCGAGUUCUUAAACUUCAUUUACGUACCAAUGAUUGACGAGUUGGUGAACACCAGCAUCAUUGGAGCAAACGUGGGCUUUAGCCAGCUGCCAGAUCCAAUUAGUGGUUGCAUCAACCGGCGGCGUUACGACACGUUUUGAACGAGAACUUGGGCCAGUGGCUGGGAGGCUAAGCUCUAUAGCGAUGGGUUUGAGAGUGCCUAAAUCGCUCAAGAAAAAUAUGGUGCGUGUUGCAUAUGCUUUACGGCCAUCAAGGGCAUUAAUCCUGUCAAUAAAUGGUAAGUAGGCAUCGUGGUGGUCCACUAUGUAUAGCUUGUUCGCCUCCAAAGCCUGUGAAGGAUGGACACAACACAAGUUUUAAUACUAAAAUUAGACAUGGAAGUUCAAAGUGGCUAACUGAAUGAGGACAGCACGAACAGGUUGUCCUGCUGCACUAUUGUCUACUGUUGUUUUUAUCACGCUCGAUGAGUUAUGAACAUGACUGAUAUAUAUAAAGGAUUGUGACUGAUAUUCAAAGUGAUUGUGAUUGAUACCUCUUGCACUGUCAUUCCGUUGAGAUUCCCAAGGAUGUGCUCUUCUUUGAGAGCUGAAUCCAAGGGGCCAUAGAUUUCAGGGUCAAGCUUGCUAACAGGAGGGAAGGCCUGAAGCCUUUCAAUGCCUACAGGAUUAACCCCUGCUAUUGCUUGCCGGGCAAAUUCAUCAUCUCGCAACCAUGCAAAUUUGUCCUCUGCAAUUGCAUAAAAAAAAGCGUGUUACAAUAUAGUUAGAUAUCACAUUACAAAAUAAAAAUAUCUAUCUGACCAAUAUAAAUAUGCUUACUUGUUAAGAUUUUGGGAAUGCCAUAUUUGAGAAUAUCACCGUCACGGAAUUUGUUGACUGCCUUGGGCAAUGGAAGCUUAUUCAAGAAUUCAUCCUGCACGCCUAGCUUCAAAAGUAGUCCUUCAGUGUAGAGGCUAUCAAUGUCUAAGAACCCCUUGAAAUCAUGAUUUUUAGCCGAAAUGUUGGCCAUUAACAAUGGCAACAAGUUGUGAAGUGCUCCUUUAAGUCUUCCGGUUGAGAAUGCAUCUUGCUUAGACUCCUCAAACUGUUCAUCUCUAGGUACAUACAUGGGCAGUGGCUUCUCCACUCUGCUCUCCGCAUUCAAAUCUGGAUCAUACAAAAGUUUUUAGGGGGGGAAAAAAAACUAAUUCGUGUGUCUCUGCUUUUGGAAGUUGCUGACUACAUAGUUGAAUGAAAUGGGAAAAAAAAAAUCAAGAUUUGGUAUUACUAACCAGUAUCAGUUGGAACACGUCCUGUCCGACAUCUCCUUGGAUAUGGAAUCUUAUCACCUCCAAGUGAUGGCCGAGCAAAUUCAAUUCCUCGGUCAGGAUUGCCCAGAUCAUUAUAGACAUCAAAAUCAUAUACUCUAUCUGAUAAUUUCCGGACACCUUUGUCAUCACCCCUUAAAUCUCUGAGCUCUUUCUCUCUUAAUGCUUUCAACCCAGCAGGCGUUUCACCAGGCAGAUAUGGCUGUUCAAAAGUUGAAAAAUUUUCUUUAGUCAAAUGAUUUUCCAUGCUGCCCUUAAAACAACUAGUGUUAUCAAUAAGAUCAGAUAAUAAGAUUGAUUCUUUAUUUGAUCCGUACUUGUCUUGUCUAGAAAAAUAAAAAUAUCUUAAUGCUCAUAUUAUCUUAUUAGCAUAAGACGAAUUAAAAUCAAUUAUCAAUAGCACCAAGAAGGCAAGAAUUGGAAAGUAAGUCAGGAUUCUACUUUAUCAAGAACAGGCCCCUGGGUACAUCCAGAUCAUUAUCUUAAGAAUUGCCUAUCUCGAUUACAAAGGGAAGAUGGAUGAAGUUCGAACUAAGUGGUUGGAAUAUCUGCCGACAGACUUUUUUAACACCUCCAUGCAAAAAUCGAGCAAGUUAAAAAAAAAAGAAAAAAGAAAAAAGAAAUGUAAGUUUGAAGAGUAUAGAAAGACUCAAGUCAAAAUUUUUUAAGCAUGGGUUUCCUCUCCUUUUCUACUUUUCUUGGGAAGAGAAAGAACAUGGCAUUUUUAUUUUCCAUAUAAGUGUUUGGCCUUUCUUUUCAAUUAAAAAAAAAAAAGAUGGAAAAAUAAAAACAAAAACUUUGGGGAAUAAUUGCUUCAAGAAAGAGAAUUUAGAAGGGGAAAACACGCUCCAAAAGAAGAAUGCAUAAAUGCUCCUUCAUUCAACUCUUUAUCGCAGAAGGAAGGUUCAAUUCAACAAGUAUGAACCCAAGUGGCCGACUUCAGGUUGGACCAGACCAAAAAGUAGUAUGGUGAAGAUUUUGACUAGCGAAGAAGGAAGAGUGAUAAUGCCGUCUUGUGAAAACAGAAUAUCAUAGUGAACGCAGAAAGAUGAUUACUAACAAACGCCUUUAUACCUGAUUAGAGAAGAAUACCCUCUUUCCAGGAUGAUGUUUAUUGGAUUGCACCCAAGAGUUGCAAGAGAAAUGUACUGGACCACAUGCAAAGCCUUCAAUGGUCAUGCUCUCCAAGAAGAACUCUUGUUGGUGCUUGUUAGCCACUGUGAUCGCCCCUGGCACCCCAAAAUUGGAGUCUACAACAAAUUCAGCUGUGUAAUUUACUCUCUGUGUCUUAAGAUUUGAUUUCUUAGACCAGUCCUUUAACACCGCUUGCUUGCUUUUCUUUGGAGCUUUUGUAUCUUCAUCAAUGCCAGACCCACAAAAAGAAAGAGAGAGAGAGAGAGAGAGAGAUGGGGGAAAAAAUUAGAAGGCCAAAUCAAAACAUAUUCUCAAGAUCAAUGUUGACUCUUAAGCAGUAAACUUUGGAGCAAAAAGUUUUAUUUGGGUUCAAGAAAAGAAGGAAAUAAUGGCUUACUAGGAUCAAUUUCUGUACUAACAAGCUCUAGCACCACAUUUCUUCCAAGUUUGUCAGUCAGAGCAUCCAACUGCUUCACAAUUGACUCCUUCAAGUCUUCUUUGUGCUUGUUCCUAACAGUAACAACAGCUCUCACCUUGAAUUGUACUGCCUUUUCUGGUACAACCUUCACCAAAUUCUUCUCACUGAUAGCUGCUACCGGACUACUACCAGUACUGGUCCUCCUUGCUUUCCUUAUUUGCAGGCUUCUUCUUUCAGCAGGUUUAACCUGAGUUGGAUGGGAAGAAGAAAACUGGCCCGAUUUCUGAUCAACCAAGACCACCUUAAAUGAAUUGAUAAAUUGGGAUUUCUCCGAUAGAGACGUACCCAAAAAUUGUUUAGCCACUGCCAUCUUAGUUCCCUUAUUUUUUUUUUCUCUUAAUAUCUCUGUUGAAAUUGCAGCUUUUUGGGUCCGGAGGAAAGCAGUGAGGAGAUACAGGGGUAACUAAUGAAAUGAAGAAGAACUGUUGUGAUCAGUUAAAAGGCAUGUGGAUAGUUAUAUAUACAUACUUACAUAGUGUGGUGGAUGAACAUAAAAUAUGUUGCAAAAUAAAUGAAUAAGAUCUCGCCGUCCACACGUUUUCAAUGAUAUUCUUGUGACUAGCUGGGGGCGGGGGGGUGGAGCACUUUUAGUUGCGCAUAGUUUGCUUGGGCCACGAUUUUUCAUAUGGCUUUUAAUUUCUCCGGCUGCCAGGUCAAAGACGAGUUUCAAGUUUUCCCCGGGGAAAAGACGACGCGGCGCGGAAACUAAACAGAAAGUCGGAGAUAUUUUAGUAGACAUAAUUGUCCUUCUGCUGUCCUAAAAUACCAAUCAUGUACCUGUGGGUUUAAAAGGUUGCAUAAACCUCGCACUCAUUUUGUCGCCACAGCUUGUGGAGUCUUUAUUUGGAUGUCUCUAUCGUACUUUUUAAAUUCAUUUCCCAAUCAAAUCAUAUUUAUCAAUGCCUCAUUUGGAUUGUGCCACACACACCUAGAUUAUUAUUGGAUAUUUUGAAGGCCGGAUCUAUCACUGUCGUCUUCUUAAUAAGUGGUAUGACAUAAUCUAGGCUAUUAGAUAUUUUGAACAUGCAUCUAUCAUUGAAACAAAAAAAAAAAAAAAGACUAAAUCUAUCCAAAUUUAAGUCUUGCCAGUGAAAUUUUUCUCAACCAAUUUAUUAUCCUUUCUAAAAAUAAAAAAGACAUUCCCUUAUAAUAUUGUUAUCAAUUUGAAUGAAAUUGAGCAUUAAUUUAUAAAAAUCAGUGCCGAGAUAAAUUGCGCGCUUUAACUCAGCUGUUCAAUUAUACAAUCUAUUCACCAAUAAUUGAACUGCAUGGUUAAGACGACUAGUGCAUUUUAAUUGAUAAAACCCGUUGAUAUGAAUUUGUUCAAUUUCCUUUAUUUUAUAUAGAGUUGUAAGUGCUGUUUUUUUUUUUUUAAUUUGAAGAUUACAAGGCAAGCUGCGAUGAAUCAUAAGGCACUGCUAGAGUGGGGAUGAAAAGUGGAGAAUCAUCUAUUCUUUUCCUUUUGUUUUUUUUUUUAUUAUUUAGGGAUCCUUAUUCCCUACUAUUACUGGUUCUGACAUUUGUGUGCUGCUUGCAUUUAACUUACCUUGUUCAGAAAACAAAGGACGCAAUAAUCUUUUUAAUUGUGUUCUGUAAGUAAUAUUUGAGGACUCUGGCCUUCAACUUUUUACCCUAGUUAAUAAAUACUCAUAUUACACACCUACAUGUAUUAUCUUGUGUUAUAAUGGUUCGAUAUUCUAGUAUGAUUUUAACUACUAAAUAACUGAGAGGAGGAUUCUUUACCCUUACUCUUCAGUGUAAAUUAUUCCAGAGCUAACAAUCAAUUAUCAUACCUAUUGCGAGGCGAUUGAUUCUUGCCUUUCUCGGGAAAAGAAUAAUUUCGUCUAGCGGACCGAGUGAAAACUGGGACGAACUUGUCAUUCGAGGGAAAGAUGAGGCGACAAAUGGCAAAAGACACUUUUCAAAAAAAAAAAUUUCAUUUUUAAAUGCUUCAAGAAAAGUUUGAAAGUUCCAAGAAACGUUUGGGCUGACGGGUAUUAACGCCUGUUAAAUUCUGCUCUUUAAAUAAAUUUAAAAAAAAAAAAGAUCUGUGGGAGGAGAGGAAUUGACCAAUUAUCACUCCUGUCCUGCAAGUUUGGCAGCUUCAAUUCAACCAUUAUCUCCAGUGACCAGUCCAUUCCAUGCGGUUGGUUGGUGGCUGCUCACAAGGCUUGGGAGUUUGGUCCGUCAAUGGUUUCUUAGUUCACGCUUUUGAAAAGGUCCUUUAGCCUUGUUUGGACAGACGUUUUUUCGCCGGAAAAUUGCAUCGUUUUUUAUGUUCAUAUUUUCGUAUUAUUUUUUUUCUCACAUACAUCAAAAUAUUAUAAUAAUUUUUUUUUAAAAAAAAAAAUCCUAGAAAAUGCAAUCCAACUUCCUAAGGAAUAAGGAUUGUGCCUUUUAGUGAAAUACAUAUAGAUAAACGGAUACGCGAGCUCUCUCUUUAAGGUUCCUUCAUUCUCACUUUUUCUUUAUAUCCUUUGUAUAUUUUUGUGGUAGGAUUUGGAUGAGUCUACCAAACCCAAUAUUGUAUACUGCUUUCUGUCUUGACAGUACGAAUUACUAAAAUCAACAAACUGCGUAGAUCAGAUGACGAUGAUGAGGUUAUCAUAGUAUAUUAUAUUAGGAAGGUAAUGGCAUGUGUAGAUUACAGCAUGGUUUGGAGGAGGUGGGCUUCAUGCUUUGCUAAGCUUAAUGUUUGCUGAUGGAUACAUUAUUGAUCCUCCGAUUUUUAGUUAAUACUUGAUAAAGAGGAGGAGUGCCGUACUAUGUCCCCAGAGCCACAUCUCAUUAACGUAGUAUGAGAAGAAUAGUUCGAACCCAUUUUCUUGCCCAGAACGUACGUAACAAGAUGCUACAAAUACGAAACCAUGGAGGAAAGAAAUAGACAGCUAUUAGGUAUACCAGGAACCCCCCCCACAAAAAAAAAAAAAAAAAAAUCAGCGUAUUUUCUCUGGCAGGGUUUGACGUUUGAACCCGCUGCUAAUGAGAAAAGUAAAGCUGCUGCAUGCAGCGAGAAAGAAAAAGAAAGAGACUACCAGUAGACAAUUAGCCAUAGUGAAACUGGACCUGUCGAACAAUGAAAUUCUAAUUUUGACCUUAAAGGGUUACUUGUAGAAAUAAAUAGCAGUACGACUUCUUCUUUUCUUCUUCUUCUUUUUUUUUUUUUUUUUAAUUUUCCUCUCUCUCUCUCUCUCUCUCCCCCUUUGUUAUUGGUGAGGUCCUGCCAAUGAGGUCGAGAGCAGCCGAGACCGGAGGAUGCCCCUUUUGCUCGGACCAUUGAAUUUCCUUGAAAUUCUUAUUAGUGUUUAGGUUUAGGGGGUCAACAGUCGGACCGCAGAAGGAUCAGCAAACUGUUCGUCAUUUUGACCCGAAUUCCUUCCGUCCAGUAUCGUGUCACACAAUGCAAUGCAAUGCAUUCCCAUGUUAGAGUUUUGACAAGUCAAAACGCUGACUAUUAGAACAAUUCACUUUCUCCACGUACACGCACUUGCGUUGCGUCGGUCAGUAAUCGGCUAGGCUUUGUUUUGGGGCAGGUAUGGGUCGAAUGGUUUGGUUUGAGGCGAUGGAGUGUAAGUAAAUGGUCUCCCAUUUGAUAUCUGUCAUUUUAUCUUUUGUGUAACCUCGUCGUCAGAAUAAACGGGGAUGUUCAAUUCAAUUGACCAUCAUAGUACGUAAGUACUAUUUGAGUCUAUUUCUUCUCAGGCACGAAGUUGCCCGUGUUUGGGCCGCGCGACUGCCAACCAAUUGACAAAACCAUAAUCUCCGUAAGGAGGGAGUAUUCCUGCAUUUAGUUGACCCAAUUUCGAGAACGGGUCAAGCCUGGGACCUGCAUGUCCAAGACGCGAUCGCAGUUUCAACAAAGUAUUUAAAUUCUGUCAUCGUUAGACCAAAAUGGAUAUUCUAAAUAAUACGAGUUGAGUGUUUAGACACAACACAUACAUUUGUUUCACGGCAUUUGACUUUUUAAUGUGAGACGGAAUAUUACAUAUCAAAUCAGCGUGUCGUGUUUCAGCCACUAGAAUGGACUAAAAUGCGCAUCAACUUUAGCUAACAUUUCCGUACUGGAUGGACCUGCAGGAGCACGAAAUUUGGAUCUUCUUAACAUGUUCGCUUUUAGAAGCAGUUCAAUAACAGGAGCAGCGAGCCAAUGGUGGUGAUUAACAAAGCCCUGAUGGAAUGGAAUGAAUUUCAUCUGGCACAAGGGGGGGGGGGGGGAGCAAAACAUGACAACCUGGUGGCUGGAGAGCAGGAAAAGGGUAGGAGAUGGGAUACACCGCAAGCGGGCUGGACCAAAAACUCAACAAGGCAGGGUGGGGUAUAGCGGCCAGGAACAGCUCAGGGGAAUUGGCAGGUGCAUGGGCGAGACCAACUGAAGGUUGUGCUGAGGUACAGGUGGAGGAAGCUCUGGCAAUACGAGAAGCUAUGGUACUAGCUAAACAAAUGGGUUGGAGGAACGCGGAACUGGAAUCAGACUGUAAGCACGUGGUAGACAAAAUCAAUGCAAGGGAAGAGGAAGUCAGCAUAGCCAUUAUUCAGUUGGAUAUUUGGAGGAUGAUGAAAGAAUUUGACCAAUGUUGUUUUUCCUAUACUAGAAGGAGCAACAACUAUGUAAGUCACUAUUUACCAAAGUUUGCUAUAACUCUGAUUGAUGUAGCUGAAUGGAAGCUUAGCUUUUCAGCGUGGCUGCUUGAAUUAGUUCAGGCAGAUUUACCGGAGCAGUUGCUCUGACUUUGUACUUGUUGAUGCUUAAUACAAUUAAUGUUACCGUUUGGGAAAAAAAAAAAAAAAAAACAUGUUCGCUUUUUGGAUGGGCAUAGGCACUUGGCGGCAUACCAUCGUCCCCGAGAAGAAUAUAGGAAAUUCAUCAGAAGAAGAAAAAAAAAACCCAAACUAUCGACAAUUUCUGCUGACGGAUUUUAAUAUAACUGUGGGUAAAAGUUAAAACCAUUGACCAAAUCUAGUGUUCUUUCCGCCCGCAAUCACAAGCCACAACUCACAAGACAGAAACUCGCUGCUACAAAACAAGAGCUCCGUAAUCAUGCAAGGCCCCACCAUGCUGCGAUCAUUUUUAGUUUCUUGGGGCCAAUCUCUCUUUUGAUGAAUUAUUCAUUUAUUUCAGCCAGAAAUACGAUAUACACGUGUUAAUGGCCGGACCUGUUGGGAGCCAUGUCAACAAAAAUAUCAUUCGGUAGGGACCCAAAUGAAUUGAACCAAUUAAAUUAGUGAUCGUUUUCAACUUUUUCAUCUUUCACUUCGGUCGGACCAUUUUUUUGUGUUGGAUCUCACAUCUAACACGUGAAAUUUCAAUUCCCAAGCGAAAACAGUAAUGAUCGCAUCUGAGUUUAUUUUGUUAGCCCGUGAGUUCUUAAAAUCUGAGCCAACCUACGUGAGGGCUCUCUGGAUUUAUGUAGUCAACAUUUCAGUAUGCUUCUUUGUUUUUUUUUUUUUUUAAUUUGAAAAUGGUGUUAGUACGACUCCAUAUUGAUCAGAAAAUAUUGAUUUUUUUUUUCCAAUCUUCUCCUCAGUGUUUUCACCGUUGUGUUGGUAUUGAAAGGUAACUGGCAUCGGAAGUCUUGUGAUGUUAACUCGGAAUGUCCAGCAGUAAGUUGAAUUAAUUGCUUGUGGAUUUGGGAUGAUGAAAAAGCCACGUUGUUCCCCGAUCCUCCACACACAAAAAAGUAAAAAUUGUUAGUAUUCAGCGGUCGAACAAAGUCAUGAACAAACCCAAACCGAUAUUUAUAAGAAGAAGAUUAAAAAAAAAAAAAUCAUUUGAUCACUAUCGAAGAAAUGAAAAACAAAAAAAAAAUUGAGAAUACACAAAACUUUACUGCGUAGUAGUAGCAUUUAAGCAUGUUUAUAUUCGGCCUCGUUCUUACUUCUUCGUCGUUAGUCGUUUGUAACGUUUGAACUUGUCUGCUUUGCCGCGGGUUUGCUUAAAGUUAGUCGAACGCGUAUGAAUCUAUAGACUGCGAGGAUGUAGUUAAGAUUUUCAAGGGGAAUACAAUGGCAAAUGUGACAUGGCCGAAUGGGAAAGUUGAAUUCUAUGAAAAUGUGCAUGACUUAAUGGCAUCAUAUAUUCAUAUGUGCAUGUAUUAGUUUACACGUGAGAAGAUUUUAAUUAACGCAUCGGUGUAUAAAUUGUUGAUUGUGGUUGAUUUCAUAGGAGAGUUUGAUCGAUCGAGCGUGUUUGGAUUACAAAUUUAUCUCAAAUAAUAUUUUGCUUGCAUCAUAAACACAUUUUUCAAUCUAAUUUUUUUAUAUUCCAAACUAUUUUUUAUCUCACAUAUCACAACAAGUGUUACAGUAAUUAUUUCAAAUAAUACUUUAUCCAAAACACAAAAAAAUUUCUAGCAAAGAAGAAAAAUAUUUUGUGAAUAUGCAUAGAUUAUUUUUGAGUUCGAUUAACGAAUAGGGACUUUGUUAAUGGUGAAAAAUAUCUCAUGAUGUAGAUUGAUUAAGGACAUAGUUUCACCAAAAAAAAAAAAAAACAAAGGGCGCUAAAUAUAUUCUUUUCAUCCACAGGAUGAUAGUUGGAGUGGGUACUCACGAAGAAUUGAUGGGGUGGGAAUGAGACGUAGUGGGAGGUCAUUUUCUCCCUAGUUGAAAAAUGGGGCAAGGCUCUGUCACCCGCCUAAAUAUAAAUGUAAAUAUUUAAUAUUUUUAGUUAUAGGAGUGACUUAUAAGUAUCAGAUUAUGUAUAUGUAAUAUAAUUACUAUUAUUAGUUAUACUAAUAAUUAUAUAUUUAUAAUAAUAAAAAUUAUUGAUCAGUUAUACUAAUAUAUUUAUAUUAAAUUAUUAAUUAUAUUUUUUUAUUAAUCACACAUUUAUUUUAUUAGCUCUCGUGGACACAUUGUGGGGGCCGUGGGGAACACUUGGGCAGGGGAGAGGGCGCGGCCAUGUGACGUGUUUGCAAUUUUGCAUCCGCAAUUCUGCCUCGAUAAUUCCUGUUUGUAUAUUUGGGCUCGGGUUGGACCUAUCCACACAGGCCUUCGACUAGCAGUCACAAUUGAUUUGUGCUAAACUACAACAACAGAUGUGAAUUUUCUCGUCGAGUUUCCUAUUUAGAAGAAAACAGGCCCAAACAACAAUCACCCACCUGUCUAACUAACUUAAACAGGCUGUGUUGUUUUGGGCGUCAGGACAUGGGUGUAAUUUAGAAGCAACGGGCAAAAAGAACUCACAAGUAGGGCUGCAAACGGAUUGAGUCGCGAGCGACUCGAGUCAAAUUCGAGUUCAAAAUAUUAAGCUCGUUAGCUCGCGAGUCAGCUCGCGAGUUUGAGUAUAUAUAUAUAUUUUUUUUUAUUUAAUAAUCAAAUUAUGUAUAUUAUAUUUUUUUAUUUUUUAUUUUUAUAGUAAAAUUACGUAUAUAUUCUUAAUAUUUUAUUAUUUAUUAAGAAAAAAAUAUUAUUUUUAUUUAUUUUUUUAAAAAUAAAAUAUUUAUUUUUUUUUAUUUUUUCGAGCUCGAGCUCGAGCUCGAAAAUUGCUGGCUCGUCAAGCUCGAUUUUGGUAAAAUUUAGUCGAGACUCGGCUCGAUUAGUUCAAAACUCGACUCGACUCGACUCGUUUGCAGCCCUACUCACAAGUAGAGGUGGCAAAUCAACCCACUUAAUUAAAUUUACCCAUACCCGCCCAUGAAUAGAUGGGUAUGGGUAUCUUAAAUUUUUGUAUAUGGGUAUAAAUGGGUUACCCAAUAAUACCCAUUUAAUAAAUAGGUAUUAUUGGGUAACCCAUCAAACCCAAUUAACCCAUUUACAAUUCUCUUCCCCCCAAGUCUCUUCUUUUCCCCCACCCAUUUUUUUUUUCAAAUUAUUUAUUUUGUCAUGAUGUUAACUACUUUUGUUUCAUUAUUAUUAUUAUUAUUAUUUGUUGGUUUUAUCUUAUUAUUUUAUUUUCUCUUAGUUUGUUAACUUACUCAUUUUUCAGCAUUACUAAUUUAUGAUAAAUUUUAGCCUAUUUUCUUAUCUUUCUAAAAUGAAAUUUUAAAUUUAUAUAUGAAAAAAAUGUUAGGGGUUCAAAAUUUUUGGAUUAAGUUUUUAUAUUAAUUUUUAUAGUACUUAGUUCAAAUUUUUAUAUUCUUAUUAUUCAAUUAUUAAAUAAUAGGUAAUUUUGUGACACAGAGUAUAAAUGAAAAAAAAUUGAUAAUUAAGUUUAUUGAACAUUAUAAAUAAAUAUUUAAAACUAAUGAUGGGUACAAAGAGUAGUAUAAAUUGAUAACUUAGUUUGCAAAAAUGAAUUUAAAUGAGUUUACAAAAAGUUAAAAUAAAUGGGUUAUAAAUGGGUAAUUGAGUUAUCCAAUUCAUUUUUUGACUUACUCAUUUAUUCCCAUCUAAUUAAAUAGGUAUGAAUGAGUUGACUCAGUUAUACCCAUUACUCAUUUUACCCAACCCAAACCCGCCCAAGUCACCCAUUUUGACACUUCUACUCACAAGGCAUCAGAGAGGCGGAGAAGAUACAAGACUCUACGCUUAACGGAUCAGGGCUUUUUGGUUUACAACUAAAUGCAGCAAAUUUUUUUUUUUGAAUUAUACUAAACUAAAAAUUAUGUGAUGUAGCUCACGAUUACUAGAAGUUGUACGUAAAAAUCCGUUUGAAUAGACAACAUUUGAGCAUUUGUUUGAUAGCCAAUUUUACACUUUUUUCAUUUUGUUGUCAGCCCAACUUUUCACUAAUUAUAUUGAUUGUGGUCUUAACACUAGUUAUAUUUAAUUUGGCAAAGGAAAAUGAAAAUUAUUUUUUGGUUUAAAUAAAUAAUAUAUUCGAGGGCUAUGUCUGGAUGGCAAAAUUUUCCAAAAAAAUGUUUCACUUGUAUCAUAAACACAUUUCUCAGUUCACCUUUUUAUAUUCUCAACCACCUUUUUAUCUCACAUACAUCACAUCACAAAAAAUGCUACAGUAAUUAUUUCAAAUAAUUAUUUGGAAUAAAGCUCUAUCCAAACAAUUAGUAAAUGGAGUCAAAACAUUUCUAACUAAUCUUGAAUGUGCUUAGUACAUGGAGUCAAAAGGUAUGAUUAAUUAUGAGCAUAAAGGGGCUUUUUGUAAAAAAUAAUUCAAAGUUAUUGGAUGGAAAUAUCUGAGCAAUUUCAUGACAAUGAGGAUGAAUUUGACGGAUUAGGUCGUUGUCAAUUUGAUGCUAAUAUUAACAAAAGGGGAAUGAGUUCUAAUUUCCAUACUCAAUGAAAGCUACCGUUUGUUAUCCAAACGAAUGUAAAGAAAGAUGUAACCCGUGUGAAAUUAGUAAAGGUUUAGAUAAUCAUCGGGUGAUUUUUGAAGCGAUAGCAGGUUUAUAAGAAAAUGAAUGAUGGUGUAGACGUGGAGUCCAAUUAAACAUUGAAAAAUUGCCUAAAAAAAAAACAAUUAAACAUUGACAAUCGUCUACCGUCUGUCGGGUUCCCGUAAAGUUUAUGCACAUAUCAAUUGCCGUAUCAGGAUCUAAAAUUUGUACAAUCAUUUCAGAUCUCCUCUAACUACCAAGUCCUUAAACAAUGAGAAGUUAAUUAAGACCCCUGCACCCUCCGCCAAUAAAAGGUGUCUUUCUGCCCCAAAACAACUCUACCUGAACAUACAAAUUAUUGCCGCCGGAAAGGGCCAACAACAAGCGCAUUAUGAUGAAUUUUUUGAUUGCAACGAAAAACGGGCAGAUUCGAAAGGGAUGCAUUCGGGGCAAUAGUUUCUUAAUGCAUCGUCAUCUAAGAAUCUUUCCAUUUUCCUAGGGGUGGUGGUGGGGUUGGAGUGCUAUGGUUUCAUUCGAUAAAAGAGAGGCUGAUGUUCAAGAAAUGCUGUUGACAUUUUCGAGUUCUAACUUGAUCAGAGGAUGCUAAUUAAGAUGAGUUAUACAGUGUUAUGAGAUGUUCUCGCCUCUCUUUGUUUGCGGAAAUGAAGAACAAAAGGCCUUGUUUCGAUUGCAGUUUUCGUCGGAAAAUUACGUUGUUUUUCGUGAUCACAUUUCCCUAUUAUCUUUUUUUUCUCACAUAUAUUAAAUCGUUACAGUAAUUUUUCUAUGAAAAAUCAUGAAAAAUGCAAUUCAAACGCAAUCUUAGUUUAUUGGCCGGCCGAUGAAGAUGAUAGCAUCUAUAGAUCGAUAAUAGAUGACCCAUGAGAGGAUGUCGUGUCGUUGUCCAAUGUCCAUUACUCGUUUGUCCUGUGAGAGUACAGUGCGAUAUAUACUAACUGUACCAAUUGCCAUGCAGGGCAACUGUUUGUUGUUUCUUGAGAUAAAAGCAAGACUUCAAGCGUCGCUCGAUCACUUUCCAUUCGUUGAGCAGUACUGUACAAAAUACCAAUUACGCAUACAGCUGGACCAUAUUUUGUUAUGGUGCGGUAUUCGGGUAUUGGUCUCCAUGUGAGUCCAACUCAACUCGACUCAACUCAAUUCAAAGAGUAUCUUUUUUUUUUUUUGUCAAAGUCAGUAGAUUUUUGGACGCUUUUUUACUAAUUUUAACUCCGUGAGAACCCUUGAAAAUCGGCAACUUUUGAAGGUCUCACAGGAAACUAAUAUACUAACCACUCAAACCCUUCCAACUCCGAUGUGGGAUAUCAACCUCCACAAGGGAGUCUGCCAGACCUAAGGAGACCCCAUACCCCCCAAUAACUGAGACUGAUGUCUUUUUUGUCAAAAUCAACAGAUUUUUGGACGUUUUUUUUCCUAACCUUAACUCCGUAAGAACCCUCAAAAACCGACAACUUUUGAAGAUCUCACAGGAAACUAAUAUACUAACCACCCAAACCCCCAACCCUGACGCGGGAUAUCAACCUUCACAAGCGAGCCAACUCAAAGAGUAUCCAUUCUUUUCUUUUUUGACAAUAAUAUGUGUUGCAUUGCAAUAAUGAAUUGAGCGUUGCGGCAGCCAAACUUCGUAGAUUGUACUUUGUCAAGAAUAAAACAAAACCCUCAUGCCUCAAGUGUCAAUGACAGCCCAUCUGCCUGUCCAGCUACGUUCGAUCACUGCAGCAACUAUUCCACAGACCUAUUGCUCCCGCUAAAAGUACAGUACUUCUCAAGCAGUUAAAAAUAUAAAAACCACCCACUUAUUAUUAUGUCCAUUUAAUAAAAAUAUUAAAUUCGUGAACAUGCGCAUCUUCAUUUGUUAUCUAGUUCAAACUUCAAACCAGUUUGCUGACUCCUGAAGCGUAGAUAAGCAGAGACAUGAUGAUAUUCACGGGGUGUAAAUAAGUAACAGUGUGGAAUAAAAAAUAUAUAAAAAACAGUAAUCAUUUUGUUCUCGAUUAAUUAAUUUGAACUAAAACUUGUGAGACCUACGAUGAUGGAUGAUUCGUACAUUUUUCAAUAAAAACUCCUUAAAUAAUUAUUUCUUUCAUGCAAACAAAUGGUCGAUGCAACAGGUGAUAAUUACAAUUUAGAAUUUAAGUGUGUAACAUAAUUAUACGCAGGGUAGUUUAGAAAUGUUUAUAACAAAAGGCUAAAAGCGCUAUAACAUUUCAGGAAAAGUAUUCCAAAAACCGGCACGAACCUUGUGAUCAAUCUAGGAGUUCAACCAGAGUAGCAUGAUGAAACCUCUCCCGGUUUCUUAGUUCGCAUUGUUAGUGUGUGAUCGAUUAUCAUCAUACUUGUCUGUCGGGCGAAAUUUUGUUUUGAAAAAAAAAAAAAAAGAUUUUUCUUUUCUUCUUUUUUUUUUUCCCCUUAAAAGAAGAAAGAAAUUUAGAAAAGGAAGACGGAGCAGCUAAAAGUAAGAGGUUGAGAUCGGCAACUGGAACUUAUUACAUGAUCACGGAAACUGAACCCGAAAAUGGUAUGAAUUUAUACAUGAUGAUGAAGAAGAUGAUGAGGCGGAUGGGUUGAAACUGAGCGGUGGUGGUCUAAGGCAUAGUUGUUGGGGAAGCUGUUGAAGGACAGACCCAUGACGGGAACAGCAAAUGAAGUCUCUAUCAGGAUUCUCUGCUGGAAAGGCUCCAUCGCACCUCCUGCUUCCAUCAGCUCCUUCACUAAACCACCAUAAUAAUCCUUGAGCUUCUUCACCAUGCAAAUAUACUUGUGCUUCAGCGCCCUCAACUUCACACGUCUCCAGAGCCUCACCAGAAAGAAUCUCCUGCGGGGCUUCUUCCCACCAGCUCCUCCUAGUCGGACGGUGGGCAGCUUCGUCCUCCUCCGGAAUGACAGUCGCCAUCGGCCUGUCGUCCACCGGAAGUGGGCGGAGGAGGAAUGCACGGGGGUCAUUUUGGUGGGAGUGAAUGGGGCAGUUUCGGCUUUGGAAACUUGGGCCAUUACAAUUGGUAGGUAGCAGCAGUAUGGGUGUUAUUGAAAUCUAGCAGUAAUUACUAAUGCCUAAUUUGUAUGGAGGGGGGAAUGGGGAACUAGGGACUAGGGACUAGGGCCCGGGGAGAUCACUUGGAAUCCUCGGUGACAUAUUUUUCUAUGUCAAUCCAAUGCCACCUAUAGUAUUGCGCCAAGUGUCCCAUUAUUAUUUAUACUUUAAUUUUUUAAUAAUUCAACUUGGUUUGGUUUAACACAAGUGUAAAUAAUAACAUGACACUUGGCACAAUAUUAUAGGUGACAUUGGAUUGGCAUAGAAAACAUGUCACCGAGGAUCCGAAGUGCUGGGCACUUGGAAUCCUCGGUGACAUAUUUUUCUAUGUCAAUCCAAUGCCACCUAUAGUAUUGCGCCAAGUGUCCCAGGAGACGAGGCCCAUGAGGGAAGGUAAUAAAUGAGAAAGGAGUUGACCGUGCCUCAAAGCAUCUUUUCUUUUCGUCUUUAUUAGACUAUACAACAAGACACCUUCUUUUAUUUUAAGAAGGGAAAAAAAAAAAUCGUCAUGGUGGUGAGAUUUUGUGAUCGGCACGAAUUAGUGGAUAAAUAUUUCCAAUGUAAUAAUAAUAAGAUGGAGUAUAGUAUUAUUAUUAUUAUUAUUUUAAUUAUGGGAUUACUUACGUCCUUAACUCUUGCUCCGGCUUUAAUUUUGGAACAUAUAUAUAUGUCUCUUCAUAUGACUAAUCCUGAUUUUCGAAUUUUCUUGUUGUACUCAUUAACACUGCCCUGUGCUGGUUGGCUUUUUAUAUUGAAUCAGUACAUUUCAUUUUCGAACGGCAUGGAGCAAAAUUGGCAUACUACUACUACUAUUUGGAGAGAAACGAGUCUGUCGUAUUAUGGGCUCUAAAAUAGGGCAUGUUGAGUGAGGAUAUGAUGAUAUCAUGAAAUCUUUUCUUGUUCGGCUGUACCCAUACAACAACUUUUGCGCCUCAUAUUAUUGUCAAGCGGAUCUUAGCCAGAGGAUUAAAAUACUAUAACAACUUCUUGUAGCUUAUUAGCGUUUCAUGGAGUAUCUUUUUUCCCCUUCUUCUUGACCUUUAUUAUUCAAGCUGCCUUCCUCAAGGAAGCCACCAGGAAGUUCGCUUAUCCGAGGAAAAAGUACAGAUUGAUGAUGUGAAAAUUUGAUUUCAAUGUGAAGAUGGGUAUAACAUGAGUGAAUUGAGUUGAUUUUCAUUUCUUAUUGGUGACAUCUCAUCUAGUAAAACCUGUGUUUAUAAACUUGGAUCGGUCGGAUAAAAUCUAUGUUUUUUAACUUGGACCGGAUGGGGCCGUCCGACCGAUCAAAUCUAAAAAUCGGUCAAGUGUCCGGUCCAAAUUAUUCUAAAAGAUCAUGUGGAUAAAAACUCGGUCAAAUUCGAUCAAAAAAUCGGAUUUGACCGGAAAACCAGAAGAAGCGUUGGGGUCAAAGCCCUUUUUUUUUUAAAGGUAAAAUUUUUUCAAUAUUUUGUUUUGACCCCUAAGUUGUUAAAAAUUAUUAAUAUACCUCAAAUAUUUCAUACUUUAUAAAUGUUGUCCUAAAAUUUGAUGUUAUUUUUCAAUCAAGUCUAUUAUUUUAAUUAUAAACUUGCUAAUGUUCAUUAAAUAAUAUAAAUUGCUACUUAAUCAUUCUAAUUUCUUUGUAUUUUCUUGUUAAAUAUAUAUAUGAAUAUAUCUUUAUUAAUAUUAACAUGCUCUUAAGUAUUUUACAUAUAACAUUUUAAAAUUUAAAUAAUUUUUAUUUAUAACGUCAUCCGAUUCAAUCCCGAUCGAAUCCCAUUGAAUCCAUUAACCCCUGACUUAUGAGUUCGACCGAAUCGAUACCGGUCCGAGUUUGAAAACAUAAGAUAAAACAACUGCGUUCUUCAACUUGUAUAUGUGCAUUAACUCUAUAAUUGAUGUGAGUGCCGCGAUAACGAAGGAUUAGCCAAUUUUAAGAGUUUAGGCAAAGCUAGCCUGCUACUCAUUCAAUAUGACAGUUGACAACCGGUCACGCAAUUUGAAUUGUAAAAAGGUUGUUGGUAGCGUUGUGACAUUACAACUUGGCACAUCCCAGAAAGGCAGAAAGCCACUACAUAUGUCCCUUUGAAUAUACGUUUUAAGAAAGAAAAGAAAGUCCAAUUGUCCAAAAACAGAAAAAAAAAAAGAAAAAAAGAAAAAGCAGAGGGUAAAUGAACCAAAUUGCUUGCAAGCUGCUCACAAGCAACUCAAUCAAAAACUCAACCUGAAUUUAAUCAAAUUAGUAAUUGGUACCUUUUUAGAGUUGUAUCAUUAAUUCAUUUCUUUUCUUUUAGAGCAAUGUUUUUUUUUUUUUUUUGUCAGCAAGGAGGCUAUUGUAGGGGCUAGUGAGUAUACAGACCCAACUAAAUCAAGGGAGUACUAUGACACAAACUUUAGAUUUUUUUCGCUGCUUGUGAGGUUUGAACCCUCACCAAUAACUCAAGAGGAACUUAAGUCCCUCCCUGGUGGCCAGGGAGCCAUUGGCCAGUGGUUAUUUCUUUUAGAGCAGUGUACACUACAAAGAUUCCACAGGCAACAAUGACAAAGGACUGGAUGGCACUUAAGUUAACACCCACAAUCUAUCCCUACGGUCAACCCAUACUGCCAUUUCUAUUUCUAUAUUUAAAAAAAAAAAAAGGAAAGGAUUCAUAUUAAUAAUACUCCAGCAGUGAAAGAGCUUUUAGAUCCCAGAAUGUCACCAUGGAAGCCCACCUAAAUCCACACCACAGGCAGUUCUGAUUUGGAUCGUCACAAAGAGACACAAAAACCUGAAGAAGUGGGUCAGAAGUUCCCAUGUUCGGUCACUGUCUCUAAAGGCUUGACAAAUAACAUCCAUCCUGGAUAGAAUUACAUGGGCCUUUACUCCUUCCAAAGUGCUGUAGGUGCGGCCCAAAUACAUGUCCAACUUGUACUAACCUUAUCCCGUGGUUAAGAUAAGUCAGGAGUGCUAACAUGAUUAAUUAAUUUGAGUUUGACGUUAUUAUUAACGGAUAAUUGCAGAAACCUCCCCUGAGAUUUCUAAUAUUUGCACUGACCUCUCUUAUGAUUUGAAAAAUUACACCGACCUCCCCUAAGGUUACUAAUCCUUUGCAAAUUUAGUCCAAACAAUUAAAAUAUUAUUUAGGGAGUGAAAUUAGAAUUUUGUACUAGAUUUGCCCUUUGUGCUACAUGUCCAAUGAAUGACAAAGUACUAUAAAUCAAUUAACAAUUAAUAAAUUUUAAGAAGUAUAUAAUUUAUAGACAAACACGCAUUAUUAAUUUAAAAUACCGGUUUUUUACGGAUAUUUACUUUUAAAUAUUUAAUUUGUAAUAAAUAUAUCAAUAUUUGUAAGUAAAAUUUAAAAAGUGUUACAGUAAUAUUCUUGCAAAAAAGAAAUAGAUAGGUUAUUUAUUUAAUAUAAAUUAAAUAUUUAAAAAAAAAGAAAUGACUCAUAAAGUAUUAAAUUUUUAUGGCUUUCAUCCGUUAUAUGAGUAAAGUAUUCGCUCUUUAUGUGCAUUUUAUUCAUUUAAUUUAUGUUAAAUAUAUAAAUAUUUGUAACUAAAAUUAAAAAAGUGUUAUAUUAAUAUUUUUACGGAAGAGAGAUUGGUAGGUUUUGUAUUUAAUAAAAAUUAAAUAUUUGAAAGUAAAUACAAAUCUGUAUUUGAGCGUAAAUAUUUGUAUUAAAUUAAAUAUUUGAAAGUAAAAUACCCGUAAAGAACCGGUACUUUAAAUAGUUACCAGCUUUUUAUGGACAAACACGCAUUACUCAUUUAAAGUACAGGUUUUUUACAGGUAUUUUAUUUUCAAACAUUUAAUUUAUGAUAAAUAUAUCAAUGUUUGUAAGUAAAAUUCAAAAAGUGUUACAAUAAUAUUCUUGCAAAAAGGAAAUUGGUAAGUUAUUUAUUUAAUAUAAAUUAAAUAUUAAAAAAAGAAAUAGCCCAUAAAGUAUUAAUUCUUUAUGACUUUCAUCUAUUACACGAGUAAAGUAUUUACUCUUUAUGGGUAUUUUAUUCUGAAUCAUUUAAUUUAUGUUAAAUACAUAAUUGUUUGUAACUAAAAUUGAAAAAGUGUUAUAUUAAUAUUUUUACGGAAGAAAGAUUGGUAGUUUUUUUAUUUAACAAAAAUUAAAUAUGUACUUCUCAAGCAGUUAAAAACUAUGAUGGUUCGUACAUUUUUCAAUAAAAACUCCUUAAAUAUUAUUUCUUUUAGGCAAACAAAUGGUCGAUGCACAGGUGAUAAUUACAAUUUAGAAUUUAAGUAUGUAACAUAAUUAUACGCAGGGUAGUUUAGAAAUGUUUAGAAAUUAGAUUAAUCUAGGAGUUCAACGAAAGUAGCAUGAUGAAACCUCUCCCGGUUUCUUAGUUCGCAUUAUUAUUGUGUGAUCGAUUAUCAUCAUACUUGUCUGUCGGGCGAAAUUUUGUUUAAAAAAAAAAAAAAAAAAAAAAGAUUUUUAUUUUCUUCUUUUUUUUUUCCCUUAAAAGAAGAAAAGAAAUUAAGAAAAGGAAGACGGAGCAGCUAAAAGUAAGAGGUUGAGAUCGGCAACUGGAAUUUAUUACAUGAUCAUGGAAACUGAACCCGAAAAUCGUAUGAAUUUAUACAUGAUGAUGAAGAAGAUGAUGAGGCGGAUGGGUUGAAACUGAGCGGUGGUCUAAGGCAUAGUUGUUGGGGAAGCUGUUGAAGGACAGACCCAUGACGGGAACAGCAAAUGAAGUCUCUAUCAGGAUUCUCUGCUGGAAAGGCUCCAUCGCACCUCCUGCUUCCAUCAGCUCCUUCACUAAACCACCAUAAUAAUCCUGCAGCUUCUUCACCAUGCAAAUAUACUUGUGCUUCAGCGCCCUCAACUUCACACGUCUCCAGAGCCUCACCAGAAAGAAUCUCCUGCGGGGCUUCUUCCCACCAGCUCCUCCUAGUCGGACGGUGGGCAGCUUCGUCCUCCUCCGGAAUGACAGUCGCCAUCGGCCUGUCGUCCACCGGAAGUGGGCGGCGGCGGAGGAGGAAUGCACGGGGGUCAUUUUGGUGGGAGUGAAUGGGGCAGUUUAGGCUUUGGAAACUUGGGCCAUUACAAUCGGUAUGUAGUAGUAGUAUGGGUGUUAUAAAUCUAGCAGUAAUUGCUAAUGACUAAUUAGUAUGGAGCAUCAAAGAGGGUCUGCACUCUGCACGGAUUGAAGUCGUGCUUUUAACUCCAUAAAAAGAUUCUUGUUGCUGGAAGAAAGGGAAAAAAAAAAGGAAAAAAAUGGCUUUUCGUGAUAAUUUAAUGAACAUACAUACAUGAUCGCACGUUUGCAUGCCAGAAGAAAAGAAACGCAUGGAUAUGGUUGUUAAGGUUUUCAGGUAGAACUCUGUUCCUGAUCCCGAAACCCAAAAAGUUGCAGAAAGCUAGAAAAGUUGCUAACAUAAAAAUAGCUAACUGCAGGAGUUAUCAAGGAGUUUUAACUUUAAGAUGCGUCUUCUUUAUUUGAUUAAUUGCACUGCUUAUUUUAUUAUGGCCAUCCUGUCCCUUCCUACGCUAUUAUCCGCUAAAAAUUCAACAAUGUAACAUAACGAGGUGCAUGGCCUAUAUCAGGAAAAGACGUUUUGAGGUUGGUGGAUCAUUAAAUCACAAAUUCAUUCAAUCUGGUACAGGCGUUCAUGCGAAAGAGGAAAGAAACACACCACACAAUUGCGCAGAAUUGGCACAACCACCAACUACAAAGGGCUUCUGGUGGCAAACAUAUACUACUAUAAAUAUAUAUAUAUAUAUAUAAGUGCAGCUCCAAAUUUUAAACUCGCAGUUCUGUUUUAUUUGAGCACAGUCUGAUUGUGAUCGGCCGCACAGAGAGACCAAGCACACGUCGCAAAUCAUAGCGAAUAAAGAUGACGAGGAAGCCGAGGCUCAACAAUUGCAACAAGCGGGAUCUUUCUUGGUGUUGAAAGCCCGAAGAUUUCAUCCAUGUCCAACUCCUCAGGCUUCAUAUCAUUUGGCAACUUCCAUUUGUAUCCAUGUAAAAGGUUGGCCAAAUUGGAUUGGAUAACCUUAAGGCCUAAACUGUAACCCGGGCACAUUCUUCUUCCAGAACCAAAUGGCAACAGCUCGUAGUCGUGCCCUUUGACAUCAAUGUCCUUUCCAACGAAUCUGUCGGGGUAAAAUUCCUCGGGUUUCUCCCACAAUGCAGGGUCCCUCCCAAUCGUCCAGACAUUAACGAGAACUCGAGUUCCCUUCUGGAUAUCGUACCCUGCAACUUUGCAAUCUUCGCGAGCACACCUGGGCACCAGCAUUGGUGCCACGGGGUGCAUACGCAUUGUUUCUUUAACAAUAGCCUCUAUGUAAGGAAGGUCUGGGAUGUCCUUCUCCGUCACCCAUCGGCUCUGACCAAUAACCCGGUCGAGCUCCUCGGUUGCUUUUCCGAAUAGUUCUGGCUUUUUCAGUAGCUCUGAGAUGGCCCAUUCUACUGUCACCGCUGAGCUCUCGGUUCCACCGGCAAGUAGGUCCUAGAGUUCAUUAAUUAUAAUGUGAAAGAGUCAGAAAGUUCUUAGCAGAAACUGCAUAGCAAUUGCACUGUAUCUGUAUGCAUGCCAAUUAUAUAGUGGCUGGCUUGUUGCCUUGUUGGGGCCACGUGCUUGUCAAUGGAAAGUUGCCUCAAGAGCCACUACUAUAAGUAUAAAAUUGGAGUUCACGUCAUUCUACUCCAGCAACAUUUGAUUUGAUGACUACAUAUUUGUUUACUGGAACUUUCUUUUUCUUUUUUUUAAAAGAAAAUAAAUAAAGCUAAUAUAUACAGUGUAAUGAUUUGAGGUACGGAAAGUAGACACACAAAACGUAAAAAUUGGCGAUCCAAAUUGGGAGUAAGAUGUGGAAUUGAGAGAUACCUGAGUGAAUGCCUUGACUCCGUGCCUCUCUAGCUUCACCUCCAGAUUGGGAUCGCUCGCCAGGUCCAGAAGGACGUCCACCAUGUCCUGGCUUACGUAAUUCUUUUCGUCUUUCCUCCUGGCGUUGUGCUCAUCCAGGACAUGCUCCAGAAACCUGUCGAAUUUCUUGCUCAAGACUUUCAUCCUCUUAAUAUACCCCUGCAAAUCCAAGAAAUCGAGCCAAGGUAUCGAAUCGCCGAUGUUAAGGACACCGUUCAGCAAGAACAGCUCGUCCAGCAUUUUCUUGAACUCGACAGGCGUGAUAAUUGAGUUCUCAUCAGACUCGUCCAAGUAUCUUUUUCCCAACACCAUCCUGCUAAUCACGUUCAAGCUCACUGUUGAGAGAUAAUCUUUCAACAAGACAGGCUUGCCCGAUGAUUUGAACAGCCCCUGCAGAAGUGAAUUCAUUUCUUCCACUCGAAUGUAUUCGUACGAUUCCAGUCUUUUUGCGCUGAACAAUUCCAUGAGGCACAUCUUACGCGCCUGGCGCCAGUAUGGUCCGUAAGGGGACCAAGUGAUGUCGGAGUAAUUAUAAGUGGUGUAUUUUCCGGCUGCAGUUUUGGGCCUCCCCGCAAAAGUGACGUCCAUGGUCUUGAGGAUAACUUUGGCCAUCUCCACGGAGGAGCCGACCACCACCGGGAAGGAGCCAAAACGGAGUUGCAUUAGGGGACCAUAUGUUAGGGAGAGUUGAUGGAUGGAACGAUGAGGGAGGGUGCCCAUGAGGUUCAAGUUUCCAAUGAUAGGCCAGGGCUUUGGACCCGGUGGGAGGUUGAGUUUUUUCUGACGGAAACGCUUGGCAAGGAGGGCGAUAACCACCGUUGCAAGCCAAGCCAGUGCAUAGGGGGUCCAGGUGGUGGGGGUAGAAGAAGAACUCUCCAUUUUGUGGCGGAGGUGGUGGUGGAAGAUGGCAGGAUAUUAAUGUAUGUAGCACAAAGAAGGGUGGUUUGGAAUGUGGAGCUAUGGAAGGGGGACCGGUACUUAUAAUGAAGUUGUGGGACUGACUGAUUAAUGAUGGAACUGGGAGAGUAAUUACCGAACUCAAUGUGGAAGUCAUUUUGUUUAGUUUAUUCGGGUGGUCUCUGAGUAAUGGUCAAUUCAAAGGAACUUGUCUUCAAGCUAAUUUAAACAAUUAGCAUACUAAACUUUAUUUUGUUUUUUUCCUCUCAUUUUUUAUUACACUUUGCUUUCUGUGUAUGUUAGAGCAUUUCCGGUGAUCAGCUAGCUGCGUUCGAAUUUUGUGCGGAUUUUCAAGUCUUAAAAAAGAAAAAUUCCAGUAUGGUAGGAUAAUGGAUUGGAGCUCACAAGUUCCAUUUCAAUCCACUUUAAGAUAGUAAAAAAUUAAUUAUGUUAACUUUUUUGUUUUUUUCAUUAUACUGAAGUCUAUUUAUCCUCUAUUCCAACCCAAUUACAUCAACAAGUAACAAACUGAUUUGGAAUGUAACCUGCGAGGAUCCAUCCACCUGGGACAAGGAGAUAGCUCUACUGCACAGCGUCGGUUCAUGGAGGCAGCAGAGAAAGUGAUUUGUCCUUUAAAUGCUUGGAAAUAAUUCCAGCUUCCACUUGCUUCCACUUCAUAAAGGCACAUUAUCAGCGGGCCAGUUCCAACCGUAUACGUGCACUAAUGUCCGGAGAAUUGGUUGUUAAACUCCAAAGCUUGGGUCUUUGUGUCUACAGCUGCAAUCCACUGGAGCUGCUUGAGUCAGAGCUCGACUUGGGCUCGGUGUUACGUUAAUAUAUACGAAUCGAACUUGAUAAGUCAUUUGUUAGGGUCGAUUGCUCGAUGAGUUGUUCGAAAAGUCAUCGAAAAGUUCGAGUUGAUAUGAAAUUACAAAAAUACUUUUAUAUCAAUUAAAAUCGAACUGAUUUCAAGCUCCUCGCGAGCCAGAGAUCAAGCCAAGCUUUCAAUCCAAAAACGAGUCAAGUUCAAACUUUUCCUUUUUUAUGUCGAGUCGAGCUCGAGUUUCAUUUUUUUUUACUCCACGAGCUCGAGCUCGAAUUCGAACUUGCACGUUAACAGGUCCAACUCGACUCGAUUUCACUCGUUUGCAACUCUAUUUGUGUCUAAUAAUUCCAAAGUAUCGGUGAUGCAAAUGCCUGGUUGUUUCUUAGUAGAACCCCACGCCAAAUAAAGUAAACAUGCACCGUCACAGUUCUCACAAUUAUACAUUGCGAAAGUCGAAGAAGUUUCUGAGAAUGGCUUCGUAAAAAAAGAAUUUGAAAAAUACUACUACUACUGUUCUUUUCGUUAUUAAGUCUCCUAGGGCCAGCAAAUUAUGCCUCUAGCGCAAUCCCUGCCUUGGUAAUUUGUGGUCGAAGGCAACAUAGGAAGACAAUUAGCAAACAUUUGAUCGGUGUUCUUCAUGUUUCGUCUUCAUUUUAGUAUUUAGUUUGGUUUUGAUAUGUGGACAGAUAUCUUCACAGACGGGUAUUCUUAAAUUGAACUAGUCUCAUUUAAGGUUUAUUUUGUGUCAAACAAAUCUCUCUCACCAUAAUAAUAGGUGGUUGAAACUUGAAAGUUGUUUUUAGAAAAAUUUGCAAUUGACAGUUGGUGAAGCUAUGAGUAUCUUAGGAUAAUUGCAAAUUCAAGUUCAUCAAAAAUAUCGAAAGGAAGUAGUUCGGAUUACAAAACAGAAAUCCUAGUAAUUGUGAACUGCUAUGUGAAAACGGACUGAAAGUUUUGAAGAAUAUCUGAGUAGCCGUUCUGGUCUGAAACUUUGACCAAAUGUUUGUUGACAAUAGACUCAACUUUUCCUUCCGUCCCGUCGACAAACUUUUCGGUGUUAGUACCUGGUUGUUGCCACCGGUUAUUUGCCAUUCCCCACCAAUUAUUCUACAGUCAGAAAUGUGAAUGCCGAAAAAAAAAGAAGAGGGGUAACGGUAGUUGACGGAUACCAACAUCACGAAAGCCAAAUCGUGAUAUGAGUUGCAGCUUGACCUCAUCAGAUACAUCCAUAUAAAAUGGUCAAAGUUAUUACUUUCUAUAUAUUACAAUGACACGCUACAUGAUAAACAUCCAAGAAAAGAUGGUAUCGAUACCCCAUCUUGGGAUUAACACAAUCUUUUCUUCUUUCCUUGGGUUAAUGACUUGGGAUUUUAUUUAAGCAAAAAUAGCUUGUGGGAUACGUGUUAGUAAUAGAAUAUAUAUAUAUAUAUAUAUACACACACAUAUAUGUCUUGCAGAUGUGCAUGUCAAUUGGGUCUCAAUAGAAAACUUUACCACCACUAGGCACUAGUAUUGAUUAACCGCACAGUCAUCACUUCAUGCACGCUAAUUCAAGACUGCAGCCACAUUUGAUUUUCUUUUUCUUGUUUCCUGGAGCGAGAUGAAAAGUUAAAAAGAGAUGAAAAUGACUUCAAACCAAAAAUCUGAUGGCCGUGCUGUUUUGUUUAAUCUAGUGCGUAAGUGCUAAUUUAACUCGUCAAAGUCGAGAGGGAAAAGUUGCAGGGAUUUACACCUCUGGGGGGCCGGGGAUGGGGUCAAUUCUUGGCGAUGGACUCGUAAUGUUUGGUUUGUGCUUGGGCAGAAAAGGCCAGGAAAUUUGCCCUUCAAUUACCCAACACAAAGGAACAAUCACUGUAACACGAAAGACUAAUCAUAUAGAAAUGACUUCAGCUGAUGAACAGCCAAAAGAGGACAAAUUCGUAGUAGUUGCAAGGAGCAUGAGAUGUGGUAAGUAUAUUACUAUAAACUAAACUAUGAUGACAAGAAAAGAAGAUGGAGGGGAAACUAAACUGUGUUGAAAAAGAUUUGUUAAAUUUCCUCACAAGUAGCUAGUGCCUAGUGGGAAGAAAGUAAAGCGUCAAGUCUCCUUCGUACCACCAAAAAAAAAAAAAAAAGCGUCGAGUCUCCUCGUGUAAGUUGUAACCAACUUUUAACUUUUUUGAGAAGUCGGGAUUUUCUUCUCUAUUUCCGGGAAGAAGCGUCGAGAAACACGAGUGAGACUAAAGACAACGGCCUUUUGUUUGGACAAAUAAGAAGAUUUGAAGUAAAUAAAUAAUUUACUUCACAAAUUCCAAUCACUUUUUUAUCUUUCCAAUCACCAUUUUAUCUCGCAUACAUCACAUCACAAAACAUAUAUGAUUUGAUUAGCAUUUCUUCAUCUUUUCCCGGCACUUUCUCGCUGAAAAAACUUAACUACUAUUAAUUCAAUACACAAACGACGCGCAAGUUGGAAAAUGUUAAAUUUUCCAAUUGACUUCAACUAAUUAAGAUCUCAUAAUUUGUGAUCAGAACUUGCACAUAAUUAAGUACCCUGUUCGAAGUGCUUCAUGUGUGAAAUACGAAGGAUCUGCGAUUUUAACAACUUUGCUAGAAAACCACUUACUUUUCAGUAACAACGAAGCUCUAAAGCUGGAGGACAGAACAAACUACCCUAGCCUUCAUGAGAUAUAUAGCCCGAGAGCCACACAAGUAACUAUCAGCUGCAUGCAUGCUGCCGUGGGAACAAAGUAUAUAUUUUUACAAAUUUGCACUUCUGCAGCUCUGUGUUGUUGCUCUCUCAACGUUUAGAUACAUUACCUGUGGAAGAUAUAUAGUAUAGCUGUCCUAUAUAAUAAAGGAGAAUAAGGAAUUCCACACAUUCAAGUGUGUGUACCCCACCAUUCGACUACAUUGAGCGAUGGAUAAAAGAUUAGACAGUGGCAAAACAAGCGGAAAAGCUAUGAUUGGAGAGAAGCUUGACUCCUCCUAUUCAAUGCUAAUAUAAGUUCUCAUUUGGAUUGCCAUUUUCAUUUGAUAUAUGUGAAGUUAAAUAUAUAGUGAUUGAAAAAUAUAGUCAUUGAAAAUGAAAAAAAAAAAAAACAAUCUGAAAUAUUUCCCUCAACGUUUAAAUCUAGAAUUUAAUCAAAGCAAAAUAUGCAAUUUAACGGCCUCCAGGACAAACAUGGACCUAAUGGAUCUAUGUGAGAAUCUGAGGCAUAAGACUACACUACCAGAUUUCUCCAAUAUUUCUGGGCUUCUCCAGUAAAGAAACGCU